rnacentral:lncRNA from 1 species
GAAAUUAACUGAACAUUUACGAAGUCUCACAUUAUAUGCUGUGAUCACAUUCACAGUUUUCUAUAUCUGAAGGAAAUUAUCAAAUGGACUCAAGUCAAGCAAGAAAGUUGGCCUCCAGUGAUGUGCCCAAAAGAGAUUUGUGCUGUUUAACAUUUAAAUUAGUGACUUGGAUAAAGAUAGAAAUGACACAGAGAUGAAAAAAAAAGCUAUCAUAUUAGAUAUUAGUCAAGAUUAAGAAGAAAAGAUUAGAACAUUGGGUCAAAUAGAAGAUGACAUCUAAUGGAAAUAAAUGAAGUCUUAACUCUUGGAUUAAAAUUUUCAAUUAUAAAAGUAUAAGUUGUAAGACACAUGGCUAGAAAGCAGUUCAUCUGAAAAAGAUAUAGGGGUUCUGGUGGAAAACAAGCUCAAUAUGACUGCAAGCUCGUUAUACAAUAUGACAAUCAAGAAGCUUAAAUUACAUUGAGUCAGGGCAUCCAAGACCAGGAGAUAACAGUACACUGUACUUUGCCUUGGAUCAUUAUUAUUUUCAGUUCUGAAUGCCAUGUUUUAUGAAGAACAAUAAUAUGAUGGAGAGCUGUCAUUCAGAGAAGGGCAACCAACAUGAUUGAAAACUGCAAGUGUUCUGAAUCCAAUUCUUCCUGUGCAACAAGAGAACUUCGGUUAUGCACACACAUAUUGUAUCUAGGAUAUACUGUAACAUAUUUAACAUGUAUAGGACUGCUUGCCAUCUGGGGGGGGGGGGUAAAGGGAGGGAGGGAUAAAGUCGGAACAGAAGUGAGUGCAAGGGAUAAUGUAAAGAAAAUUUUUUCAAAAUUAAAAAAAAAAACAGCAAGUGUGCGAAUCAUUUGAAGGAAUGGGGGAUAACUUGGAGAAGAAAAGAGUUAAGGAGGAUGAUAUCAUUAUGACCUGUCUUGAAAUAUUGGAAAGAUUGUCAUAUGGAAGAGGGAAUAAAAAGACUUGCUUGGUUUAGUCCCAACAGGCUCAACAAGGAAUGAUGAAUAGAAUGGGCACAGAAGCAAAUUGAAGCCUGAGAGCAGAAAGUACAAUUCCCAAUAAUUAAAACUAUCCCAAAGCAAAAUAGGUUGCUUCAGGAGGCAGAGGAUUUUUCCCUCAGUGGAUUUUUUUGGGGGGAGGGGCAAAAGAUGUAUGACUUACUGUUAUAAAAGGGAAGUGAUAGAAAGAAUUCUUGUUCAGAUGGACUCUGAAGUUCUUCCUAAAGCUGAGAAUCUAUGAUUAAGUGAAACAAUUUGUUACUUGAAUAAGAAAAAAAAAAAUAAGGUGGUGUUGUACUUAGCAGAUCUCUGAGGUUCUUUCC